AUUCAUGUAGUUUAUAUAAUAAAACACUUCAUUUUCAAUGAAGAAAGAGGAUAUUCUCCCAUGAAUU
rnacentral:tRNA from 1 species